rnacentral:rRNA from 1 species
GUGCAUCCGCGCGGUAAUACCGGCAGCCCGAGUGAUGGCCGAUCUUAUUGGGCCUAAAGCGUCCGUAGCUGGCCGAACAAGUCCGUCGGGAAAUCCACGUGCUUAACACGUGGGCGACCGGCGGAAACUGUUCGGCUUGGGGCCGGAGGACCCGAGGGGUACGUCCGGGGUAGGAGUGAAAUCCUGUAAUCCUGGACGGACCGCCGGUGGCGAAAGCGCCUCGGGAAGACGGACCCGACAGUGAGGGACGAAAGCUGGGAUCUCGAACCGGAUUAGAAACCCCAGUAGUCC